rnacentral:lncRNA from 1 species
UCUGAAGCCAGACUGUCUUCUUCACCGCUCCCGGGCUGCACCACUGUGGGCACAUCAAGCUUCGUCUGGCUCACCUGCAUGGUUCCGGCUGAUUCCUGCCUGAGAUGGCCCAUCGUACAACUAGGAUCCCAGAAUCUCCUGUCUGCACUCUGCGGAAGAAGGACCUAUUUCAGUCUCUGGCCAGGGUCUCUCACAGCCGAUGGGGUCUUGGAAGACAGGGUGAAGUUGCAGAAGACUGGGGUGGGAUGCGAAGGCAUGCGAAGGACUUGGAAAGGGAAUUUAGGAAUACUAUACAUCAGUGCCCACCGAUGAUAUGCAUACAGGGCGAGGGCAGCCACCGCCCCUGCCUCACGCACCUAACCCCGGCUGCUCGCUGGGAUUGUCUGAGGGGGACAACCCAGGUCUGGAUGUGGUGGCAUUUUUUCAGAGAGUGGAACUGAAGAUGGAUGAAGCAGGUACUUGCUGUGUCUGCUUGGCAGGGCAGAGCUGGAGAAAUGGAAGGGGAAAAGAAGAGAUGCUGACUGUCGUAAGAUUGUCUGCUGCCAGCUCCGCAGUCUUAAUCUAAGGAAGGAUGGCAUAGUGGAUCUGCCAGCACGUGCAUGGAGGAACUGUAAAUUGCAGUGUGGAUGUCCCUGCCCAUUCAAAUGAGGAAGAGCAAACAGUUUUGUACCAGUGUGACUUCUCUUGACCUGUUCUCCACCGCAGAAGGAUUUGGGGCUGGAGGUUGGUGGUC